CAAACUCCGAAUGCCAAUUAAUUUAACUUGGGAGUCAGAACAUGGGUGAUAAGGUCCGUGUUCGAAAGGGAAACAGCCCAGACCACCAGCUAAGGUCCCAAAAUAUAUGUUAAGUGGAAAAGGAUGUGGCGUUGCCCAGACAACUAGGAUGUUGGCUUAGAAGCAGCCAUCAUUUAAAGAGUGCGUAAUAGCUCACUAGUCGAGUGACACUGCGCCGAAAAUGUACCGGGGCUAAACAUAUUACCGAAGCUGUGGAUUGUCCUUUGGACAAUGGUAGGAGAGCGUUCUAAGGGCGUUGAAGCAUGAUCGUAAGGACAUGUGGAGCGCUUAGAAGUGAGAAUGCCGGUGUGAGUAGCGAAAGACGGGUGAGAAUCCCGUCCACCGAUUGACUAAGGUUUCCAGAGGAAGGCUCGUCCGCUCUGGGUUAGUCGGGUCCUAAGCUGAGGCCGACAGGCGUAGGCGAUGGAUAACAGGUUGAUAUUCCUGUACCACCUAUAAUCGUUUUAAUCGAUGGGGGGACGCAGUAGGAUAGGCGAAGCGUGCGAUUGGAUUGCACGUCUAAGCAGUAAGGCUGAGUAUUAGGCAAAUCCGGUACUCGUUAAGGCUGAGCUGUGAUGGGGAGAAGACAUUGAGUCUUCGAGUCGUUGAUUUCACACUGCCGAGAAAAGCCUCUAGAUAGAAAAUAGGUGCCCGUACCGCAAACCGACACAGGUAGUCAAGAUGAGAAUUCUAAGGUGAGCGAGCGAACUCUCGUUAAGGAACUCGGCAAAAUGACCCCGUAACUUCGGGAGAAGGGGUGCUCUUUAGGGUUAACGCCCAGAAGAGCCGCAGUGAAUAGGCCCAAGCGACUGUUUAUCAAAAACACAGGUCUCUGCUAAACCGUAAGGUGAUGUAUAGGGGCUGACGCCUGCCCGGUGCUGGAAGGUUAAGAGGAGUGGUUAGCUUCUGCGAAGCUACGAAUCGAAGCCCCAGUAAACGGCGGCCGUAACUAUAACGGUCCUAAGGUAGCGAAAUUCCUUGUCGGGUAAGUUCCGACCCGCACGAAAGGCGUAACGAUUUGGGCACUGUCUCAACGAGAGACUCGGUGAAAUCAUAGUACCUGUGAAGAUGCAGGUUACCCGCGACAGGACGGAAAGACCCCGUGGAGCUUUACUGUAGCCUGAUAUUGAAAUUCGGCACAGCUUGUACAGGAUAGGUAGGAGCCUUUGAAACGUGAGCGCUAGCUUACGUGGAGGCGCUGGUGGGAUACUACCCUAGCUGUGUUGGCUUUCUAACCCGCACCACUUA
rnacentral:rRNA from 1 species